rnacentral:RNase_P_RNA from 1 species
GGAGCUGGCCGGGCGACCGCGGCACACGCCUUCGGGCGUGGGUCGAGGAAGGUCCGGGCUCCACAGGGCAGGGCGGUGGGCAACACCCACCCGGGGUGACCCGCGGGACAGUGCCACAGAGAACAGACCGCCGGCACGGACCUCGGUUCGAGUCGGUAAGGGUGAAACGGUGGUGCAAGAGACCACCAGCGACCGGGGCGACCCGGUCGGCUCGGCAAACCCCGCCCGGAGCAAGGUCGAACAGCGUGCGUUCGAGGGCGGCCCGCCCGAGUACGCGGGUAGACCGCAGGAGGCCGCCGGCAACGGUGGUCGUAGAUGGAUGGUCGCCCCCCGGACGACCGUGAGGUCACCGGGGACAGAACCCGGCCUACAGGCCAGCUCCUCCG